CCUUGUUUUGAAACGUCAUGUUGCCCUCUCCUUGCCCCUCAGCAAGAAGGCGGGUCGACCCGGCACCCCUUUCUUUAAUUACAGUAUUUUCAGGGCAAUAUGACCAAUUUCUAACAAAUCCCUUGUGAAUACCCCAAUGUUUGAUACAGAGAAUGACGUGAUCAUCACGUAAUGUCCGCAUGGCAACCAACUAAGUGAGAGAAGCAUCCCGUGUGGGCUUUUAGCCGGAACCGGCUCUGAUUACGCACCGGGAUGGAAGAAUUGGAACAUUCGGCUUCUCUAGAGGUUGCUCAUUUCCUAUACAUGGCACAACUUGUAGUCUUAUAUCCACCGAUAUAAACUCGUCCCCAG
rnacentral:sRNA from 1 species